rnacentral:snRNA from 1 species
GGAGUUUGGCUGGGGCGGC